rnacentral:rRNA from 1 species
AGGUCACGGCGAGACGAGCCGUUUAUCAUUACGAUAGGUGUCAAGUGGAAGAUGGCCUUCAACAAAAAAAAGUGGAAGGUCGCCUUCAACAAAAAAAAAGUGGAAGAUGGCCUUCAACAAAAAAAAGUGGAAGGUCGCCUUCAACAAAAAAAAAGUGGAAGGUGGCAGUAA